rnacentral:rRNA from 1 species
AGAGUUUGAUCCUGGCUCAGGAUGAACGCUGGCGGCGUGCUUAACACAUGCAAGUCGAACGAUCCUUCGGGAUAGUGGCGGACGGGUGAGUAACGCGUGGGAAUCUGCCCUCAGGAGGGGGAUAACGGCUGGAAACGGCCGCUAAUACCCCAUAUGCCGAGAGGUGAAACGAAUUUCGCCUGAGGAUGAGCCCGCGUCUGAUUAGCUAGUUGGUGGGGUAAAGGCCCACCAAGGCGACGAUCAGUAGCUGGUCUGAGAGGAUGAUCAGCCACACUGGGACUGAGACACGGCCCAGACUCCUACGGGAGGCAGCAGUGGGGAAUUUUCCGCAAUGGGCGAAAGCCUGACGGAGCAACGCCGCGUGAGGGAUGAAGGCCUCUGGGCUGUAAACCUCUUUUCUCAAGGAAGAAGACCUGACGGUACUUGAGGAAUAAGCCACGGCUAAUUCCGUGCCAGCAGCCGCGGUAAUACGGGAGUGGCAAGCGUUAUCCGGAAUUAUUGGGCGUAAAGCGUCCGCAGGCGGCCUUGUAAGUCUGUUGUUAAAGCGUGGAGCUUAACUCCAUUUAAGCAAUGGAAACUACAAGGCUGGAGUGUGGUAGGGGCAGAGGGAAUUCCCAGUGUAGCGGUGAAAUGCGUAGAUAUCGGGAAGAACACCAGUGGCGAAGGCGCUCUGCUGGGCCAUAACUGACGCUCAUGGACGAAAGCCAGGGGAGCGAAAGGGAUUAGAUACCCCUGUAGUCCUGGCCGUAAACGAUGAACACUAGGUGUCGGGGGAAUCGACCCCCUCGGUGUCGUAGCCAACGCGUUAAGUGUUCCGCCUGGGGAGUACGCACGCAAGUGUGAAACUCAAAGGAAUUGACGGGGGCCCGCACAAGCGGUGGAGUAUGUGGUUUAAUUCGAUGCAACGCGAAGAACCUUACCAGGGUUUGACAUCCUGCGAACCCCUGAGAAAUCGGGGGGUGCCUUCGGGAGCGCAGAGACAGGUGGUGCAUGGCUGUCGUCAGCUCGUGUCGUGAGAUGUUGGGUUAAGUCCCGCAACGAGCGCAACCCACGUCUUUAGUUGCCAGCAUUCAGUUGGGCACUCUAGAGAGACCGCCGGUGAUAAACCGGAGGAAGGUGUGGAUGACGUCAAGUCAUCAUGCCCCUUACAUCCUGGGCUACACACGUACUACAAUGCUACGGACAAAGGGCAGCAAGCUCGCGAGAGUUAGCAAAUCCCAUAAACCGUGGCUCAGUUCAGAUCGUAGGCUGCAACUCGCCUACGUGAAGGAGGAAUCGCUAGUAAUCGCAGGUCAGCAUACUGCGGUGAAUACGUUCCCGGGCCUUGUACACACCGCCCGUCACACCAUGGAAGUUGGCCAUGCCCGAAGUCG